rnacentral:tRNA from 1 species
GCACCCGUAGCUCAGCUGGAUAGAGCACCAGACUACGAAUCUGGGGGUCAGAGGUUCGAAUCCUUUNNUCCUUUCGGGUGCGCCA